AAGCACGGCCGCCAGUCGGGACGCCACGGACGCCGGAAGCGGGCGCAUGGUGUAAGCUGUAAACGGCAGGCCGCAGACGGCCCGGGCCGUACGAUGCAGUUGUGUUGAGCUAAGCUAAGGUAGCGUUUGGUUGGAGAGUACUGUGGUAUGGAGUCGUUCCGUUCCAGGGUGUUUGGUUUCAUUCUAGACAUAAUCGAGUGGCUCUAAAAUAAGAAUAUUCCUCCAAUAUCAAGGAUCCCUAGCCUCCAAAAAAACACUCAAACCCGUACGCUCGGGAGCACAACGCGUCCAUUCCUCUCCCAGGUCAUCCGGUUGCAAGUAUUCAGGAGACAAAAAAGACUUUAGAGCUUAAGGAUGAAAGAAACAAGGGUGAUGAUGAAUUCAUAAACAAGCCUCUUCCCUACUAUGGCAACCUUGCUACAAUUUUUGGCAAUAGUGUGAUGGUUGUAUGGAUGCGUCAUGUGUAAGAUUAUAUAGUAAUUAUUAUACAUUUUAUGAUCUAUAUUUAUAUUUGUCAUUUUAAGAUAUGACUAAUGGUUGUAUGAAUGUGUCAUAUCUUAAAAUACAGAUUGACUAAUGGAGAAAAUUAUCUAUUUGCACUCA